CAGGCUGUGACAUGGUGGAUCAAUACAGCAGGGAUAUAAAGCCGGCUGGCUGGCUGCCUGCCUCUGCCUCUCUCUCUCCCUAGCUUCUCUUCCCUUUCUUUCCCGGAGCCAGCCGCACCCAGGCCCCCACCCUUACCCCUACCUCCGAGGGGCCAGCCUCCACCCCAUACUGCCCUACUGCGGGAGAGUUUAGGGAGGCUGAGAGCUUGGAGAGCCAGGAGAGGGGCCUUCUCCCCAAACCCUAGGCCAGAAGUAAGGUGUCACCAAGUCCUCCCCAUAAUCCUUGGCUCCCCGCAGAGCCAGAGUGAGCAGGGGGCAGGAUCGACAGCGAGUCUCGGGUAUCAGCGGGGAGCAUUCGGCCUCCCUACCUACCGACACCCCAGCCAGCAUGGUCACCCCCCACGAGCCGCACACCACAUCACUGGUACCAGAUACACUCGCCCAGUGAGGACACCUGGAGCCUGGCAUGAGACGCUUCCUGCCUGCCUCACAGCUGUGCCCCCCCUCCUCACCCCCUCAGCUUCCCUCUUGACACCUUGUCCCACCUACAGUGUGUCCUCACGGACUCUGGCUUAGGAGAGAACGUCCUGCCUUUCCUGCCCUGCUCUCCCGUCGUCCCCCACCCCAUUUCCCCUGCCGCCCUUCUCAAGAGCUCCCCACAUUUCUCAAACGUCAGACCCCCUCUGAACCCCCUACUGGCCACGUGCCUCAAGAGAAUUGCACUCCCCAGUCACCACCCACCCCCCACCACCACCACCGAAAAAGCUGUCCGGGAGUAGCGGGGGGCAGAGGAAGCCACCUCCCGGUUCUCUGGUUUUCUUCCGAACCCCUUUCCUUCCCGUGCCAGGCCCCGCACCUCCAUUUGGCUAACGAGCUCUUUGUACACCUCCAGGCUCAGAGGAGGAGGAUGGAGGGCUGACAGACAUUCGGACGAGGGCUGACAGACAUUCGAACGAGGGCUGACAGGCAUUCGGACGACGUCCGACAGAACAGCACGAGGAGCGCCUGUUUCGGGAGCACAGAGAGAAGCGGGAGAACAGAAGGCCAGGAGGGGAGACCUGUGCAACCGGACACCGGCACUCAGUGGGGUUCCCAACAGGCCUUGCACAGAGCUCCGGGGGGUUACUAUAAGGUCCUGGAUGGGGGGGGGGGCUCUGAACUCAACAGCCUGCCUUCAUUUUGCCGUGGGACUGUCCGGGAUUCCAGCAACUUAGCGAUCCUAGGCUGCAACAAGAUGCAGCUCAAACCGACGCUGGCCGGACCCGGAGAGCUGGGAAAAUUGUUGGCCCACCUGCUGGUUCGCUGGCCUACCCACAGGCACGGCCAUCCCACUUUUACCUGCCUGAGACAUCCCCACCCAGUCACACAGACUGCUUCACACAGCCCUGGGCUCUUCCAAGCCCCAGCCAUUCAAGCCUUGCCUCCUCACGCCUUUGGGGCUUCCUGCAGGGGAGUGUAGGAGUCUCGGGACACGUGCCUCGUCACCUCUGUGACCUGUGUUUGACCACUGCACGCUUUUGUGCGUGGAGCGGGCAGAAGGGAGGAUGGUGAUUCAGCCCUAUUCCUGCCUUGGCAUCCAGAGGGCAUCAGCCCCGGGGGUCUGUAAGGCCACACUCAUCUGCAAGCCUCCCCCUGGAGCGAAGAACUCCCUCCCAAAGAUACCCCAGAGGCCCCCUCUCUCCUCUGACACCUUGCAGCCCCAGACUUGAUGUAGUCUGUGCCUGAUUCUUCCCCAGCCCGGGGACCCCUCUGCGGCCCCGGACAUCCUUCUGCUUCUCAGUUACUCCAGGCCUAGUACGUGAGGGAUCCCCGGGUGGGGCAGGGGUGCUGUGGCAAUAAAUGGAUGGAUAUGGA